rnacentral:misc_RNA from 1 species
UUCUAUCCUCUGGAUGGUAUUUUUUUCUAUGUAUUAUGUAGAAAAGAAGAUUAACAGCCAGGAAUUUC